UAUCAAUGUGAUUUAAAAUUGGAGGAUUUAAAGGAUUAAAAGACAAUUCGUUCUUCAAGCGCUAUGCACUGCGGGACUGGGAGUUAGCCACACUGCAUGGUGGCGCUCCCACUGGGCUAUAAUUUAAGCUACGUUCCAGCCGGUGACUGU
ensembl:ncRNA F53B1.15 ncRNA